AUUGAACGCUGGCGGCAGGCUUAACACAUGCAAGUCGAGCGGUAACAGAGAGAAGCUUGCUUUUCUGCUGACGAGCGGCGGACGGGUGAGUAAUGCCUAGGAAUCUGCCUAGUAGUGAGGGAUAACUUGCCGAAAGGUAAGCUAAUACCGCAUACGUCCUACGGGAGAAAGGAGGGGACCUUCGGGCCUUUCGCUAUUAGAUGAGCCUAGGUCGGAUUAGUUAGUUGGUGAGGUAAUGGCUCACCAAGACCGCGAUCCGUAACUGGUCUGAGGGGAUGAAGAGGCACACUGGAGCUGAGACACGGGCCAGACUCCUACGGGAGGCAGCAGUGGGGAAUAUUGGACAAUGGGGGGAGCCCUGAUCCAGCCAUGCCGCGUGUGUGAAGAAGGUCUUAGGAUUGUAAAGCACUUUAAGUUGGGAGGAAGAGCAGUUAACUAAUAUUUGACUGUUUUGACGUUACCGACAGAAUAAGCACCGGCUAACUUCGUGCCAGCCGCCGCCGUAACAC
rnacentral:rRNA from 1 species